rnacentral:tRNA from 1 species
GCAGGUGUGACCGGAGCGGCAAUCGGCCCCGACUGUAAAUCGGGUGGCUAACAACCUUCGUGGGUUCGAGUCCCACCACCUUGCACCG